ACGGGGUGCAGCAGGCGCGAAAACUUUACACUGCGCGAAAGCGCGAUAAGGGGACCUCGAGUGCGUGCGCAAUGCGUACGCUUUUCAGAUGCCUAAAAAGCAUGUGGAAUAAGGGCCGGGCAAGACCGGUGCCAGCCGCCGCGGUAACACCGGCGGCUCAAGUGGUGGCCGCUAUUAUUGGGCUUAAAGGGUCCGUAGCCGGACCAGUUAGUCCCUUGGGAAAUCUUACGGCUUAACCGUAAGGCUGCCAAUGGAUACUGCUGGUCUUGGGACCGGGAGAGGCAAGAGGUACUUCAGGGGUAGGAGUGAAAUCCUGUAAUCCUUGAGGGACCGCCAGUGGCGAAGGCGUCUUGCUAGAACGGGUCCGACGGUGAGGGACGAAAGCUAGGGACACGAACCGGAUUAGAUACCCGGGUAGUCCUAGCCGUAAACGAUGCGAGCUAGGUGUCACGUGGAUUGCGAAUCCAUGUGGUGCCGAAGGGAAACCGUGAAGCUCGCCGCCUGGGAAGUACGGCCGCAAGGCUGAAACUUAAAGGAAUUGGCGGGGGAGCAC
rnacentral:rRNA from 1 species